GAAGGUGUAUCUAGAAAGACAAAUUAGAGCUUGAAAAGUAAAGCAUUUCAUUUACAUUGAAAAGUAUAUUGUGUAAUUCAAUUUAAUUUGAUAAUAAUAGAAAUUUAUUAAUUUUUUUUGUUUAAAUAAUUAUUUUAAUAAAAUUAAUUUUAAGUUAGUUAAUUUUUUUGUAUAAUAUAUAGAUCAAAUAAUUUAUAUAAUAGUUAAUUAGUAUUGUAAAAGAAUAUUGAAAUAUAUGAAAAAGUUUUAAAUUAAAAGUAAAUUUUAUAUAUUGUACCUUGUGUAUCAGGGUUUAUUAAUUAAAAGUUAAAAAUUUAAUUUUUCUCGAAUUUGAGAGAGUUAAUUUAUUAUUUAAUUUUUUGUUUCAUAAAAAUUUAAAAUAAUAAAUUAGAAAUGAAAUGUUAUUCGUUCUUAAAUAUAUCUAGUUUUUUAAGAAAUAAAUUAAAUUUAGAUUAUUAAUAAAUAAUUAUUUAUUUAAAUAAUAAAUUAUUAUUAAUAGUUAAUAUUUUAAGGGAUAAGCUUUAAAGUAAGUUUUAUAAUAAUUUUUUAAUUUGAAAAUUAUAGAUUUAGAAAUAGUCAUUAAUUAUAAAAAUGUUAUAAUUUAUUUUAAAUUAAAAAUAAUUUUUAUUAAUUUAAGUUUUUAUUAAAAUAAUUUUUAAAAUUAUGUAAGAAUUAAAAUAAUGAUAAAAUUAGUAUAUUUAAUUGUUUUAAAUAAAUAGAUUGAAAGGUUAAAUUAAGGAACUUGGCAAAUAAAUACUCGCCUGUUUAACAAAAACAUGUCUUUUUGAAUAUAAUUUAAAGUCUAAUCUGCCCACUGAAAAUUUUAAAGGGCCGCGGUAUU
rnacentral:rRNA from 1 species